rnacentral:rRNA from 1 species
AGCAGCCGCGGUAAUUCCAGCUCCAAUAGCGUAUAUUAAAGUUGUUGCAGUUAAAAAGCUCGUAGUUGAAUUUCGAGAUCAAAUUGUUGGUCGUGCCUCGGUACGUACUGGUAAUUUUGGUUUCUCCCUUCUGAAGAACCAUGAUGUCAUUAGUUUGGUGUCUUGGGGAAUCAGGACUGUUACUUUGAAAAAAUUAGAGUGUUUAAAGCAGGCUCGCGCUUGAAUACAUUAGCAUGGAAUAAUGAAAUAGGACGUUUGAUUCUAUUUUGUUGGUUUCUAGGAUCGACGUAAUAAUUAAUAGGGAUAGUUGGGGGCAUUAGUAUUCAAUUGUCAGAGGUGAAAUUCUUGGAUUUAUUGAAGACUAACUACUGCGAAAGCAUUUGCCAAGGAUGUUUUCAUUAAUCAAGAACGAAAGUUAGGGGAUCGAAGACGAUCAGAUACCGUCGUAGUCUUAACCAUAAACUAUGCCGACUAGGGAUCGGAUGAUGUUAAUUUUUAUGACUCAUUCGGCGCCUUACGG